GACGGGACCGCACAGCGGUGGAUGAUGUGUUUAAUUCGAUGCAACGCGAAAACCUUACCUACCUUUGACAUGUACGGAAUUCGCCAGAGAUGGCUUAGUGCUCGAAAGAGAACCGUAACACAGGUGCUGCAUGGCUGUCGUCAGCUCGUGUCGUGAGAUGUUGGGUUAAGUCCCGCAACGAGCGCAACCCUUGUCAUUAGUUGCUACAUUUAGUUGGGCACUCUAAUGAGACUGCCGGUGACAAACCGGAGGAAGGUGGGGAUGACGUCAAGUCCUCAUGGCCCUUAUAGGUAGGGCUACACACGUCAUACAAUGGAUGGUACAAAGGGUCGCCAACCCGCGAGGGGGAGCCAAUCCCAUAAAACCAUUCGUAGUCCGGAUCGCAGUCUGCAACUCGACUGCGUGAAGUCGGAAUCGCUAGUAAUCGUGGAUCAGAAUGUCACGGUGAAUACGUUCCCGGGUCUU
rnacentral:rRNA from 1 species